rnacentral:rRNA from 1 species
CCUACGGGAGGCAGCAGUGAGGAAUAUUGGUCAAUGGACGAGAGUCUGAACCAGCCAAGUAGCGUGAAGGAUGACUGCCCUAUGGGUUGUAAACUUCUUUUAUAUGGGAAUAAAAUGUUCCACGUGUGGGAUUUUGUAUGUACCAUAUGAAUAAGGAUCGGCUAACUCCGUGCCAGCAGCCGCGGUAAUACGGAGGAUCCGAGCGUUAUCCGGAUUUAUUGGGUUUAAAGGGAGCGUAGGUGGAUUGUUAAGUCAGUUGUGAAAGUUUGCGGCUCAACCGUAAAAUUGCGGUUGAAACUGGCAGUCUUGAGUACAGUAGAGGUAGGCGGAAUUCGUGGUGUAGCGGUGAAAUGCUUAGAUAUCACGAAGAACUCCGAUUGUGAAGGCAGUUCACUGGACUGCAACUGACACUGAGGCUCGAAAGUGUGGGUAUCAAACAGGAUUAGAUACCCUAGUAGUC